rnacentral:rRNA from 1 species
UUGGUUAAGAGGGUGCGUCAGUCGCAAGAUGAAGCGUUGAAUUGAAGCCCGAGUAAACGGCGGCCGUAACUAUAACGGUCCUAAGGUAGCGAAAUUCCUUGUCGGUUAAAUACCGACCUGCAUGAAUGGCGUAACGAGAUGGGAGCUGUCUCAACCAGAGAUUCAGUGAAAUUGUAGUGGAGGUGAAAAUUCCUCC